rnacentral:rRNA from 1 species
AUUGAACGCUGGCGGCAUGCCUUACACAUGCAAGUCGAACGGCAGCACGGGUGCUUGCACCUGGUGGCGAGUGGCGAACGGGUGAGUAAUACAUCGGAACAUGUCCUGUAGUGGGGGAUAGCCGGGCGAAAGCCGGAUUAAUACCGCAUACGAUCUACGGAUGAAAACGGGGGACCUUCGGGCCUCGCGCUAUGGGGUUGGCCGAUGGCUGAUUAGCUAGUUGGUGGGGUAAAGGCCUACCAAGGCGACGAUCAGUAGCUGGUCUGAGAGGACGACCAGCCACACUGUGACUGAGACACGGCCCAGACUCCUACGGGAGGCAGCAGUGGGGAAGUUUGGACAAUGGGCGAAAGCCUGAUCCAGCAAUGCCGCGUGUGUGCAGAAGGCCUUCGGGUUGUAAAGCACUUUUGUCCGGAAAGAAAUCCUUGGCCCUAAUACGGUCGGGGGAUGACGGUACCGGAAGAAUAAGCACCGGCUAACUACGUG